AACGAACGCUGGCGGCAGGCCUAACACAUGCAAGUCGAGCGAGGACUUCGGUUCUAGCGGCGGACGGGUGAGUAACGCGUGGGAAUGUGCCCUUCUCUACGGAAUAGCCCUGGGAAACUGGGAGUAAUACCGUAUACGCCCUAUUGGGGAAAGAUUUAUCGGAGAAGGAUCAGCCCGCGUUGGAUUAGGUAGUUGGUGGGGUAAUGGCCUACCAAGCCGUCGAUCCAUAGCUGGUUUGAGAGGAUGAUCAGCCACACUGGGACUGAGACACGGCCCAGACUCCUACGCGAGGCAGCAGUGGGGAAUCUUAGACAAUGGGGGCAAACCUGAUCUAGCCAUGCCGCGUGAGUGAUGAAGGCCUUAGGGUUGUAAAGCUCUUUCAGCUGGGAAGAUAAUGACGGUACCAGCAGAAGAAGCCCCGGCUAACUCCGUG
rnacentral:rRNA from 1 species